rnacentral:lncRNA from 8 species
AUGUUUCAAGUAGACCACCCUAGCCCUGUGCCCAAGAACACUAAGGUAACCUGCCUAAAUGACAACCGACCCGUAGCACUCACGUCUAUAACCAUGAAAUGCAUUGAAAGUCUGGUAAUGGCUCACAUCAACAUCAUUAUCCCAGAAACCCUAGACCCACUCCAAUUUGCAUACCACGCCAACAGAUCCACAGAUGAUGCAAUCUCUAUUGCACUCCACACUGCCCUUUCCCACCUGGACAAAAGGAACACCUAUGUGAGAAUGCUAUUCAUUGACUACAGCUCAGCGUUCAACACCAUAGUGCCGUCAAAGCUCAUCACUAAGUUAAGGACCCUGGGACUAAACACGUCCCUCUGCAACUGGAUCCUAGACUUCCUGACGGGCCACCCCCAGGUGGUAAAGGUAGGUAAUAACACAUCCUCCACGCUGAUCCUCAACACGGGGGCCCCUCAGGGGUGCGUGCUCAGUCCCCUCCUGUACUCCCAAUUCACUCAUGAUUGCAUGGGCAGGCACAACUCCAACACCAUCAUUAAGUUUGCUGAUGACACAACAAUGGUAGGCCUGAUCACCGACAACGAUGAGACAGCCUAUAGGGAGGAGGUCAGAGACCUGGCCGGGUGGUCCAAGGACAACAACCUCUCCCUCAACGUGAUCAAUACUAAGGAGAUGAUUGUGGACUACACGAAAAGGAGGACCGAGCACGCCCCCAUUCUCAUUGACAGGGCUGUAGUGGAGCAGGUUGAGAGCUUCAAGUUCAUUGACGUCCACAUCACCAACAAACUAACAUGGUCCAAGCACACCAAGACAGUCGUGAAGAGGGCACAACAAAACCUAUUCCCCCUCAGGAGCCUGAAAAGAUUUGGCAUGGGUCCUCAGAUCCUCAAAAGGGUCUACAGCUGCACCAUAGAGAGCAUCCUGAUGGGUUGCAUCGCUGCCUGGUAUGGCAACUGCUUGGCCUUCGACCGCAAGGCACUACAGAGGGUAGUACGUACGGCCCAGUACAUCACCGGGGUCAAGCUUCCUGCCAUCCAGGACCUCUAUCCCAGGUGGUGUCAGAGGAAAGCCCAAAAAUUGUCAAAGACUCCAGCCACCCUAGUCAUAGACUGUUCUCUCUGCUACCGCAAGGCAAGCGGUACCAGAGCACCAAGUCUAGGUCCAAGAGGCUUCUAA